rnacentral:rRNA from 1 species
UACGUAGGGGGCAAGCGUUGUCCGGAAUCAUUGGGCGUAAAGCGCGCGUAGGCGGCCCGGUAAGUCCGCUGUAAAAGUCCAGGGCUCAACCCUGGGAUGCCGGUGGAUACUGUCGGGCUCGAGUCCGGAAGAGGAGUGUGGAAUUCCUGGUGUAGCGGUGAAAUGCGCAGAUAUCAGGAGGAACACCAAUGGCGAAGGCAGCACUCUGGGACGUGACUGACGCUGAGACGCGAAAGCGUGGGGAGCAAACAGG